rnacentral:rRNA from 1 species
GAUGAACGCUGGCGGCGUGCCUAAUACAUGCAAGUAGAACGCUGAAGGAAGGAGCUUGCUCUUUCCGGAUGAGUUGCGAACGGGUGAGUAACGCGUAGGUAACCUGCCUGGUAGCGGGGGAUAACUACUGGAAACGAUAGCUAAUACCGCAUAACAGUAGAUGUUGCAUGAUAACUACUUAAAAGGUGCAAUUGCACCACUACCAGAUGGACCUGCGUUGUCUUAGCUAGUUGGUGAGGUAACGGCUCACCAAGGCGACGGUACAUAGCCGACCUGAGAGGGUGGGCGGCCACACUGGGAAGGGGACACGGCCCAGACUCCUACGGGAGGCAGCAGUAGGGAAUCUGCGGCGAAGGAGGGAAGUCUGACCGAGCAACGCCGCGGGAGUGAAGAAGGUUAUCGGGUCGGAAAGAUCUGUUGUAAGGGAAGAAAGAGUGUUAGAGGGUAAAGUGCACAAUGUGACGGUAUCUUACCAGAAAGGGACGGCUAACUACGUG